AGUGAACGCUGGCGGCGUGCCUAAUACAUGCAAGUCGAACGGAGUGUCGCGCGGGUGAGUAAUGUAUAGCUAAUCUGCCCUACACUAGAGGACAACAGUUGGAAACGACUGCUAAUACUCUCUAGUGUAGGAUGAGGCUAUAUUGUAUCAGCUAGUUGGUGAGGGAAUGGCUCACCAAGGCUAUGACGCAUAACUUGUCUGAGAGGAUGAGCAGCAAAACUCGAACGGAGGCACCGUUGAGGAUCCUACGGGAGGGGGCAGUAGGGUAUUAUGCUCAAGGGGCGAGAACCAGAAGCAGCAUCGGCGCGUAGAGGAUGACACUUUGCGGAGAGUAAACUCAUUUUGAUAGGGAAGCGGUACCUAACGAAUAAGCACCGGCUAACUCCGUGCCAGCAGCCGCGGUAAUAC
rnacentral:rRNA from 1 species